GGGGCUCGGAUGAGGGGGAGAUGUGGCCCGAGGAGGGCCAUUCUAUUUAGACACGUCUUCUCUGUGGGACUGGGUUGCUUGGUGAGGGACGAGGGUGAGAGCGGUGCAGUACGAGACAGGGUGAAUAGGUUUCCGGAGGACCAACCGUUCAGGUUAGUGGCGGUAAGGGGGAGGCGCCGCGCGGGCUACAAUCCUCCCCCUGCGGUUUUCUGGAGGGUCUAGGAGCUGUGUGUCGUGGCAACGCUAACGCUUUUGUGGUUUCGCCGGACUAUCCCGGGCCCCUGCAGUGGUGAUCAGGCUUGUGCGGGAUCCCUUUUCUUUAUAAGGCUACUUCUCCCCUGGACCAGCCCAGGAAGGGACAGGUGGUGGAGGUCAGUUGUUUUAAGGUGGUUGCAGGACGUCUUGUGGUGUCGAGCUCUCUUAGCCUUUCUCUCUUGGAGGUUUUUUUUUUUGUUGGCCUGUUAGGUAUAUCAGGAGCCCUCCCCUGCCGGGACUGCCCUAACCGAAUUUUUGUUUGUUUGUUUGUUUUCCCUUCGAAUCCCGUUUUCGUUGGUGGUGUUUUGGGGGGUUGUUUCAGAGAGCCUUUGACUUUGCCCUAGCUGAGACUUGUGGACUCGCUCUAGCGGGACCUGAGAGCCCUUCGUGGUGUAUUCAAUGCAGCGCCAUCCCCGGAUGGAGGGGCUGUGGAGUGGCUGCGUAGAGUGUUGGCAGUCUGAGUCGGGGUCGGGAGCACACAAG
rnacentral:lncRNA from 1 species